rnacentral:misc_RNA from 1 species
AAGUCGUAACAAGGUUUCCGUAGGUGAACCUGCGGAAGGAUCAUUAAUACGUUCUAAACAAACGUUUUAAACUCCAAAAUUUUAAUAGUGGAAAUAUAACUUCCGGAUGCAUUUGUAGGGAGGGGAAGAUUAGACCUUAAAACAGUCUGGUUUUCUCCUUUUUGAAAAGGAAACUUCAUGCACUUCUUGUGAGUGUGUGACACUUCAGAGUAGAGCAGUGAGGUGAAAACUUCGGUUUUUGGUUUCUGAAAUACAUCUGUAUCCGGUUAUUCUCUGUUCUACAACCCUUUUAUUAAACAAUAAACCCCAUGUACAACAACUUGAACUAAACAAAUUUUGUUUUCUCUUUGAGGAAAUGAAGUAAAUCUGAACUUAAGAACAACUCUUAACAACGGAUAUCUUGGUUCUC